AGGUCCAAGGGAGAGAGAGAGUGGCAGGACGGAGGAUUGUUGGCUUCCUUGUGAGAGUUUCCAGGAGAAGGAGUCCACAUACACAAGUCCUUAAGCUCCAGCAAAAGAUCAAUUGUUGGCUGUCUCACUCAGUACCAAUGUCACUGAAUAAUCCGGCGAGGAAUGGAUCACUUCCAGGAGCUUAAAUGCCAGCUGCUCUCAUCAGCAGGAUCCAGGACAGGUGUGUAGAUUGAAAAACUCCGCCCAUGCGACUCUGACUCUGGAAACUCAGAUUGAGCCUCCUGCUGCGGUUACCUCCAAACGCCAUCCUCCCACAACCGCCGCCACCACCAUGCCUGGAAGAGUUUGUCUCUCAUUAUCAGUCCUUACUGCACCCCAAACCAACCUUCCCACCCAGCAUGUUGCCAGAGCUUCAGUGCAGCAUUGUCUCAUUAUCCAGCCCCAUUAUCUCCACAGACACCAGAGGAUCCGGGCAACGCAGGACACUGAACACGCCCCCUUGGUUAGUGGGAAUGGGAACGCUGGUGGAUAUAAAAGGUGACUGAGAUGGACCAAAGGUUUUACCAGCUAACCUUGAUGAUGGAUGUUUACUUACAUGCUCAAAAUUAAUAAGGGAACUGUUGCUCAAGGGUUGUUUAGUACAAAAAUGACUAAAUACUUGUAAUUUAUUUAAACUUUAAUACAAAGUUAAAUUAUACCUCACCAUCUAAAAGUUACUUUG